rnacentral:sRNA from 1 species
UUACAAAGUUUGUGUACUACGAAUUAAAAUUCUUUGUUUUAUGUAAGCAUGUUAAUGGGAGGAGAAAAAAGUUUGGUCCGUUUUAAACAUACUUUAUUUAUUGGCAGUUCUGCAUUUAACUUUUGUUUAAGGCUAUACUGUGGCUAGAAUUAAGCUCGGAGACUACCAUUUCUAUGGAUUUGGCACCGAUGUAGAUUAUGAAACUGCAUUUAUUCAUUACCGUCUGGCUUCUGAACAGCAACACAGUGCACAAGCUAUGUUUAAUCUGGGAUAUAUGCAUGAGAAAGGACUGGGCAUUAAACAGGAUAUUCACCUUGCAAAACGUUUUUAUGACAUGGCAGCUGAAGCCAGCCCAGAUGCACAAGUUCCAGUCUUCCUAGCCCUCUGCAAAUUGGGCGUUGUCUAUUUCUUGCAGUACAUACGGGAAACAAAUGUAAGUGGUCCGUGCCUCUUUUCAUUAAAAUAUAAAUGAUGGAAGGUCUGUCCUGGAGGUUUGUUUUUUAAAAGUUGAGAAGCACAGGGAAGAGUGUCCUGCAGGUAUCAGGUGUGUUCCCUUCUCCUCAGCUCAGGUACCAGAGGACCUUACCAGGGGAGGGAUAAAUGCAGGCAUAAAGCAGCUACUGCAGUUUUUAGGUAGUGUUUGACACUUCCUGACGCUAAAGCAUUUUUCAUGGAGGCAGAUGUUUUCUGGUUUAGGGAAAACUGAGACUAACGGCAGUUUGAAACAGUAUUUAAUUCAGUAAACAUUAAAUCACAUGACUC